rnacentral:rRNA from 2 species
AUCCUAAGGUAGCGAAAUUCCUUGUCGGGUAAGUUCCGACCUGCACGAAUGGCGUAACGACUUUCCCACUGUCUCAACCACGGACUCGGUGAAAUUGCACUACGAGUAAAGAUGCUCGUUACCCGCAGCAGGACGGAAAGACCCCGGGACCUUUACUACAGCUUGGUAUUGGUGUUCGGUUCGGCUUGUGUAGCAUAGGUGGGAGACUGUGAAACGGGCACGCCAGUGCUCGUGGAGUCACCGUUGAAAUACCACUCUGGUCGUUCGGAGCAUCUAACCUCGGUCCGUGACCCGGAUCAGGGACAGUGCCUGGUGGGUAGUUUAACUGGGGCGGUUGCCUCCCAAAAGGUAACGGAGGCGCUCAAAGGUUCCCUCAGCCUGGUUGGCAAUCAGGUGGCGAGUGCAAGUGCACAAGGGAGCUUGACUGCAAGACCGACGCGUCGCGCAGGACCGAAAGGUGGAACUAGUGAUCCGGCAGUCGCGCGUGGAAGCGCUGUCGCUCAACGGAUAAAAGGUACCCCGGGGAUAACAGGCUGAUCCUGCCCAAGAGUCCAUAUCGACGGCAUGGUUUGGCACCUCGAUGUCGGCUCGUCGCAUCCUGGGGCCGGAGCCGGUCCCAAGGGUUGGGCUGUUCGCCCAUUAAAGCGGCACGCGAGCUGGGUUUAGAACGUCGUGAGACAGUUCGGUCCCUAUCCGCUGCGGGCGCAGCAGACUUGAGAAGCACUGUCCCUAGUACGAGAGGACCGGGACGGACGGACCUCUAGUGCGCCAGUUGUUCCGCCAGGAGCACCGCUGGUUAGCUACGUCCGGCACGGAUAACCGCUGAAAGCAUCUAAGCGGGAAGCCACCUUCAAGAUGAGGUCUGCCACCACCACCGCGUGGGUAAGGCCCCCAGCAGACCACUGGGUUGAUAGGCCAGACGUGAAAGCCUGGUAACAGGUGCAGCUGACUGGUACUAAUAGGCCGAGGACUUGACACACACCCCA